GAUUGAGUUAAGGAAUAAAAAUAACUUGGAGGAGGAUUCUAGAUAGGUCCUUUUACUGAAGUGAACAGACCUUCUAAAAGAGGGAGAAGAGACAGCACACCUGGAGUCUGGACCAUUGUCUGUGAGGGUCUGCCUUUCUCCAUUGUCUCUAAACAGAUCAUUUAGGGGACUAACCUACUUGCACAGGCAUCUACAGGUGAUUUUCUUCAGAAUGGCUCUAGUUUGUUCCCAUGAACUGAAGAGUACGAUAGGUGCCAAGGGGCUUUGAAUGGAAACAAGAUAGAAAAAGUGUCUUGCUUACCUAGAAGAGGAAAAAAAAUGGACAAAAAAUCCCCAUGAUUUUUUCUCCUUUAAUAUAUACAGUUUUUGCUCUAUCCAUCUGCUAUGACACCAGUUGCACUUGGUGCAUAUUGUAUAUGCAGUGUACAAGAAUAUUAAGAAGAAACAGUUUCCAAUGCAAAUGGAUUCCUAUUGAAGAAUGGUUAGAGGAUCAGGGGCAUGGAUCAUUGAUAGAAUUAUGGGAUCAAUAAAAGAACUGUACAAGCAAGAGCCUGCAAGCAAAAGGCCUGUGUGAGGAAAAACUCCGCAUGAGAAAAAUCCCUCUGUGAGAAACAGGCCUGGGAAACAAAAAGGGAGUUUUGAAGCGAUGCAGCUGUGCAGAUAAGAUG